GUGAUUUUCCGACAUGUGAUGUCCUCUGUGCAUUGGAGUUCCUUGGAAUCACAGCAAUGCAGAAGGCCAACUUACUAGCCUGUUUGUGUAUGUGUAUCUGAACAGACUGAAAAAAAUCGAUAAUCUUCCUUACAUCUAUAACACAAAGGAGAACAGAGGACAAACCACUGCCCAAAAGACUGGAG
rnacentral:lncRNA from 1 species